AGGUAAACCGAAGAGAACAGAUAGACCUGGAUGUUAACGACAGCCAGACCAGGCAGGACACAGACAGGGCAGGCUACCAGGGAACCGUAUGUGACAGUCAAGUCUUCAUCAAGGCUCUCUUCAGUGAUGAGGCUUUGAAGACAGACGAAGAUGAUGAAAGUUGCAGCCAGACUGAAAGUGAGCUGUCCAGUCUGCCUGGCAUGAACAUCAUUCUGAAGAAAUACUCUAUCAUCGUCAAUCAGGUCAUGAGAGAGAAUAGUUGGGAGUUCAUGUUGUUGGUGGAGAAGUUUACACUGUGGGGACAGGGUGGCCACUUCUACUCCGAUGUCAAAGACUGCAAUGAGCUGCCACAAGUCAGAAGGAUGAUGUCACUGUUGCACAGGUGGGAAUAUUGUAGUACAUAUAGCUGC